rnacentral:rRNA from 1 species
UACGUGGGGGGCAAGCGUUGUUCGGAAUUACUGGGCGUAAAGGGCUCGUAGGUGGCCAACUAAGUCAGACGUGAAAUCCCUCGGCUUAACCGGGGAACUGCGUCUGAUACUGGAUGGCUUGAGUUCGGGAGAGGGAUGCGGAAUUCCAGGUGUAGCGGUGAAAUGCGUAGAUAUCUGGAGGAACACCGGUGGCGAAGGCGGCAUCCUGGACCGAAACUGACACUGAGAGACGAAAGCUAGGGGAGCAAAUGGG